rnacentral:lncRNA from 1 species
UUUAUCAUGUGAUGUACCUCAAAGAAUAUGAAUGUUGAACACUCAGACAUGAGAUCAUCUCAUCCAGGUGCAUAACGUAGAAAAAUCUCUCUCAUUCCAGGAAACUAAUGUGUUUUGCUCCUUAGGCAAGUCUGAAACUACAGAAACGGAACAGAGAACAAGCUGAAAGAAACAAAAACUCCACACAAGGGAAAAACAAAGCAAGGAAAUCUGAAGUUCCAUCUUUGCUACAGACCUCCUCAAAAAACAGUUAUGGAAGGAAACGUGGAUCUGUCACCAAAUCUAGAAACAAACAUGACCUUAAGUUUCCUGUUAUAGACAACCUAUCAGUCAAGCAGAAGUUGAAACACAACAUAACCUAUAAAAAAAAAAAAAAAAGAGAAAAGGGUGCAUGACCCAAAUAAAGCCACCUCAGGGCGCAGGCAAAGUUUUGCAGGCAUGUUCACAAGGCUUUUAAUGAGCACAGGAUCGAGUCUUUAUUUCAUCCAACUUUGCAAUUGGUGGAGAUAAAACGGGUAAUUUAAAAUAAAUUAUUUGAGUUUAAAAUACA